rnacentral:tRNA from 1 species
GGGAGUGUCGCCUAAUGGAUAAGGCAACCGUCUUCUAAACGGUUUUAUGUAGGUUCAAGUCCUGUCACUCCUGCCA